UAUGUACUCCCUCCAUCCGAAAAAACUUGUCCCAAGCUUGUCCAUCAAAUGGAUGUAUCUAGCACUAAUUUGGUGCUAGACACAUCUAUUUAAGGGACAAACUUUUUCGGACGGAGGGAAUAGUAG
rfam:Triticum aestivum genome assembly, contig: Triticum_aestivum_CS42_TGACv1_scaffold_433902_5DL